UACAGAGGGUGCGAGCGUUAAUCGGAAUUACUGGGCGUAAAGCGCACGUAGUCGGCUUUGCAAGUCGGGUGUGAAAUCCCCGGGCUCAACCUGGGAACUGCAUCCGAGACUGCAUUGCUAGAGUAUGGGAGAGGGGAAGCGGAAUUUCUGGUGUAGCAGUGAAAUGCGUAGAUAUCAGAAGGAACAUCAGUGGCGAAGGCGGCUUCCUGGACCAAUACUGACGCU
rnacentral:rRNA from 1 species